GACGAACGCUGGCGGCGUGCUUAACACAUGCAAGUCGAACGGAAAGGCCCUGCUUUUGUGGGGUGCUCGAGUGGCGAACGGGUGAGUAACACGUGAGUAACCUGCCCUUGACUUUGGGAUAACUUCAGGAAACUGGGGCUAAUACCGGAUAGGAGCUCCUGCUGCAUGGUGGGGGUUGGAAAGUUUCGGCGGUUGGGGAUGGACUCGCGGCUUAUCAGCUUGUUGGUGGGGUAGUGGCUUACCAAGGCUUUGACGGGUAGCCGGCCUGAGAGGGUGACCGGGCAGAGUGGGGCUGAGAUAGGGGCCAGGGGCAGAAGGGAGGCAGCAGGGGGGAGUCUGGCGCGAUGGGGGGAGGCGUGAUGCAGCAAGGCCGCGUGGGGGAGGACGGGUUGCGGGUUGUAAACCGAGAUCGACUGUGAAGAAGCGUGUGUGAGGGUAAUGGGUAAAGAAGCAACGGCUAACUACGUG
rnacentral:rRNA from 1 species